AUUGAACGCUGGCGGCAUGCCUUACACAUGCAAGUCGAACGGCAGCACGGAGCUUGCUCUGGUGGCGAGUGGCGAACGGGUGAGUAAUAUAUCGGAACGUACCCUAGAGUGGGGGAUAACGUAGCGAAAGUUACGCUAAUACCGCAUACGAUCUAAGGAUGAAAGUGGGGGAUCGCAAGACCUCAUGCUCGUGGAGCGGCCGAUAUCUGAUUAGCUAGUUGGUAGGGUAAAAGCCUACCAAGGCAUCGAUCAGUAGCUGGUCUGAGAGGACGACCAGCCACACUGGAACUGAGACACGGUCCAGACUCCUACGGGAGGCAGCAGUGGGGAAUUUUGGACAAUGGGCGAAAGCCUGAUCCAGCAAUGCCGCGUGAGUGAAGAAGGCCUUCGGGUUGUAGAGCUCUUUUGUCAGGGAAGAAACGGUGAGAGCUAAUAUCUCUUGCUAAUGACGGUACCUGAAGAAUAAGCACCGGCUAACUACGUGCCAGCAGCCGCGGUAAUACGUAGGGUGCAAGCGUUAAUCGGAAUUACUGGGCGUAAAGCGUGCGCAGGCGGUUUUGUAAGUCUGAUGUGAAAUCCCCGGGCUCAACCUGGGAAUUGCAUUGGAGACUGCAAGGCUAGAAUCUGGCAGAGGGGGGUAGAAUUCCACGUGUAGCAGUGAAAUGCGUAGAUAUGUGGAGGAACACCGAUGGCGAAGGCAGCCCCCUGGGUCAAGAUUGACGCUCAUGCACGAAAGCGUGGGGAGCAAACAGGAUUAGAUACCCUGGUAGUCCACGCCCUAAACGAUGUCUACUAGUUGUCGGGUCUUAAUUGACUUGGUAACGCAGCUAACGCGUGAAGUAGACCACCUGGGGAGUACGGUCGCAAGAUUAAAACUCAAAGGAAUUGACGGGGACCCGCACAAGCGGUGGAUGAUGUGGAUUAAUUCGAUGCAACGCGAAAAACCUUACCUACCCUUGACAUGGCUGGAAUCCUUGAGAGAUCAGGGAGUGCUCGAAAGAGAACCAGUACACAGGUGCUGCAUGGCUGUCGUCAGCUCGUGUCGUGAGAUGUUGGGUUAAGUCCCGCAACGAGCGCAACCCUUGUCAUUAGUUGCUACGAAAGGGCACUCUAAUGAGACUGCCGGUGACAAACCGGAGGAAGGUGGGGAUGACGUCAAGUCCUCAUGGCCCUUAUGGGUAGGGCUUCACACGUCAUACAAUGGUACAUACAGAGCGCCGCCAACCCGCGAGGGGGAGCUAAUCGCAGAAAGUGUAUCGUAGUCCGGAUUGUAGUCUGCAACUCGACUGCAUGAAGUUGGAAUCGCUAGUAAUCGCGGAUCAGCAUGUCGCGGUGAAUACGUUCCCGGGUCU
rnacentral:rRNA from 1 species